rnacentral:rRNA from 1 species
UUCGGGGUGGCNGGCGAUACGGGCAUAACUAGAGUGCUGUAGGGGAGACUGGAAUUCCUGGUGUAGCGGUGGAAUGCGCAGAUAUCAGGAGGAACACCGAUGGCGAAGGCAGGUCUCUGGGCAGUAACUGACGCUGAGGAGCGAAAGCAUGGGGAGCGAACAGGAUUAGAUACCCUGGUAGUCCAUGCUGUAAACGGUGGGCGUUAGGUGUGGGGACCGGUUUGGUUUCUGUGCCGUAGCUAACGCAUUAAGCGCCCCGCCUGGGGAGUACGGCCGCAAGGCUAAAACUCAAAGGAAUUGACGGGGGCCCGCACAAGCGGCGGAGCAUGUGGAUUAAUUCGAUGCAACGCGAAGAACCUUACCUGGGUUUGACAUGCACCAGACGGUUGUAGAGAUACGUACCUCCCUUUGUGGUUGGUGUGCAGGUGGUGCAUGGUUGUCGUCAGCUCGUGUCGUGAGAUGUUGGGUUAAGUCCCGCAACGAGCGCAACCCUUGUCUUAUGUUGCCAGCACUUUGGGUGGGGACUCAUGAGAGACUGCCGGGGUUAACUCGGAGGAAGGUGGGGAUGACGUCAAAUCAUCAUGCCCUUUAUGCCCAGGGCUUCACACAUGCUACAAUGGUUAGUACAACGCGCUGCGAACCUGUGAGGGUGAGCGAAUCGCUGAAAGCUAAUCUCAGUUCGGAUUGGGGUCUGCAACUCGACCCCAUGAAGUCGGAGUCGCUA